GGAAGCGGCCGGGGGGGGCUCCCCCCCGAGGGGAAGGCGGGUUAUGGCUGUGCCGGUGCCCGACAAACCUCUGCCUGAGGUGGGGGAAAGAGGGCCGGGGGGAGCCGCCAGCUCCUGGGCUGGGUUCUGCAAGCGCUCGGAGAAACUAAGGAAACCGUCAUGGACGGCAGUUUGCUGCUCGGAAACCCCUUUACCCUUCCCAUCUCGAUUUGAGUAUCGAAGAUUCCCAUCAGUAGAGCCAACUGUAACUGACCAAUGGUUGUUUUCAAAUACGAAUAUUGGUAAGCUUAGAUAAUCAAAGGACUGAUCAUUAUAAAGGUUAAAUUUAAGAGCGAGCACAGUAUGCAUUUUUAUGUAAAGAGCUUAUGGAACAAUGCCCUGACAGAAAAAGUCUGUAAAAACUGAUGGAUUUUGAUACUAUCAUACUGAUGGAUUUGGAUCCAUCAAAUGCACACUGAUGGAUUUGGACACGCCUUUGGAGGAGCGAUCCCCCAUGUCCCCAGCGCUGCAAUAAACGAAGUGCCCGCUGCUUAACUUCA